rnacentral:rRNA from 1 species
GAUGAACGCUGGCGGCAUGCCUAAUACAUGCAAGUCGAGCGAAGCGGGGAGGCGUGAGGAACACGUGGAUAAACUACUCUAAGACUGGGAAAACUUCGGGAAACCGGAGCUAGACCGGAUACUUAUAGAUGGAGACGCGCUGCAUUAGCUAGUUGGUAAGGUAACGGCUUACCAAGGCAACGAUGCGUAGCCGACCUGAGAGUGUGAGCGGCCACACUGGGACUGGGACACGGUCACGACUCCUACGGGAGGAAGCAGUGGGGAAUCUUCCGAAUUGGGCGAAAGCCUGACGGAGAAACGCCGCGUGAGUGAUGAAGGUCUUCGGAUCGUAAAACGCUGGUAUUGGGGAAGCGGUACCUAAUCAGAAAGCCACGGCUAACUACGUUCCAGCAGCCGCGGUAAUAC